rnacentral:rRNA from 1 species
CCUACGGGAGGCAGCAGUGAGGAAUAUUGGUCAAUGGCCGUAAGGCUGAACCAGCCAAGUCGCGUGUAGGAAGAAGGAUCUAUGGUUUGUAAACUUCUUUUAUCGGGGAAUAAAAUGUUCCAAGUGUGGGCUUUUGUAUGUACCAUAUGAAUAAGGAUCGGCUAACUCCGUGCCAGCAGCCGCGGUAAUACGGAGGGUCCGAGCGUUAUCCGGUUUUAUUGGGCUUAAAGGAAGCGUAGGUGGUUUGUUAAGUCAGUUGUGAAAGUUUGCGGCUCAACCGUAAAAUUGCAGUUGAGACUGGCAGUCUUGAGUACAGUAGAGGGGGGCGGAAUGCGUGGUGUAGCGGUGAAAUGCUUAGAUAUCACGAAGAACUCCGAUUGCGAAGGCAGCUCACUGGACUGCAACUGACACUGAGGCUCGAAAGUGUGGGUAUCAAACAGGAUUAGAUACCCUUGUAGUC